rnacentral:rRNA from 1 species
AUUGAACGCUGGCGGCAGGCCUAACACAUGCAAGUCGGACGGUAGCACAGAGAGCUUGCUCUCGGGUGACGAGUGGCGGACGGGUGAGUAAUGUCUGGGGAUCUGCCCGAUAGAGGGGGAUAACCACUGGAAACGGUGGCUAAUACCGCAUAACGUCGCACGACCAAAGAGGGGGACCUGCGGGCCUCUCGCUAUCGGAUGAACCCAGAUGGGAUUAGCUAGUAGGCGGGGUAAUGGCCCACCUAGGCGACGAUCCCUAGCUGGUCUGAGAGGAUGACCAGCCACACUGGAACUGAGACACGGUCCAGACUCCUACGGGAGGCAGCAGUGGGGAAUAUUGCACAAUGGGCGCAAGCCUGAUGCAGCCAUGCCGCGUGUAUGAAGAAGGCCUUCGGGUUGUAAAGUACUUUCAGCGGGGAGGAGGGUGUUGUGGUUAAUAACCACAGCAAUUGACGUUACCCGCAGAAGAAGCACCGGCUAACUCCGUGCCAGCAGCCGCAGUAA